GGUCCUGAGGGCAAUCCCAGGGCAGCCCAUCUCAAUACCAUGGCUAGACAUCUUUUCCUCCCUCGUGGUUCCAUGUGUGUCCCUCAGGAAGCCGUGGUGCUCAGUCCAAGAGGACAACCUUCCCUGAGCAGAGAAGGCUGGGUCUUGGUCCAAGGCUCCUCUGCUAGAACCUCCCAAGCUCUCAAGGCUUGUUCACAUUUCUAACACCACCACUUAUCUGUUGCCCAGGCAACAGUGGACU
rnacentral:snRNA from 1 species